rnacentral:rRNA from 1 species
ACGUCGCGGUGGAAUCGGGCGUGGAAGGUCGUCCAGCCGCGGAAGUCGUCCACGCAGAGGAUGGCCAGGGACAGCGAGAAGUUCCUGGCCACGGCCGCCAUGUGCAGCGCCGAGGCGCCCAGGAACGCACCCAGCUCCACGAUCACGUCCGGCUGCACCUCCUCGAUGAGCUCUGCGAACACCGCCCCCGUCAACCCCCAACACGGUUGUGCGCGCCGAUGGGAAGCUCGCGUACGGGCUCUCGCCGUCGAACAUCUUGUCGAGAAGCGUCUUCACCACGUCCUCGUCUGGCACCGGCUCCCCGCACGUGUCCACGAAUCGGAACAGAUAGUGCAGCGGCGAGCGCGGGUAGCUCAUGCCGUUCGACGAGGUUGUGACUCCGACGGAGGCUGCGGUGAGGUGCGCGGUGUGAGGCUGUAUGACCGUCUAUGA